rnacentral:rRNA from 1 species
AUUGAACGCUGGCGGCAUGCCUUACACAUGCAAGUCGAACGGUAACAGGUCUUCGGAUGCUGACGAGUGGCGAACGGGUGAGUAAUACAUCGGAACGUGCCUAGUAGUGGGGGAUAACUACUCGAAAGAGUGGCUAAUACCGCAUGAGAUCUAAGGAUGAAAGCAGGGGAUCGCAAGACCUUGUGCUACUGAAGCGGCCGAUGGCAGAUUAGGUAGUUGGUGGGAUAAAAGCUUACCAAGCCGACGAUCUGUAGCUGGUCUGAGAGGACGAUCAGCCAAACUGGGACUGAGACACGGCCCAGACUCCUACGGGAGGCAGCAGUGGGGAAUUUUGGACAAUGGGCGCAAGCCUGAUCCAGCAAUGCCGCGUGCAGGAUGAAGGCCUUCGGGUUGUAAACUGCUUUUGUACGGAACGAAAAGCCCUGGGUUAAUACCCUGGGGUCAUGACGGUACCGUAAGAAUAAGCACCGGCUAACUACGUGCCAGCAGCCGCCGUAAGAC